UACGGAGGGGGCGAGCGUUAUUCGGAAUUAUUGGGCGUAAAGGGCGCGUAGGCGGCCCGGUAAGUCAAAGGUGAAAUCCCUCGGCUCAACUGAGGAACUGCCUUUGAAACUGUCGGGCUUGAGGCCGGGAGGGGGUAGCGGAAUUCCCAGUGUAGCGGUGAAAUGCGUAGAUAUUGGGAGGAACACCGGUGGCGAAGGCGGCUACCUGGACCGGUUCUGACGCUGACUGCGCGAAAGCGUGGGUAGCAAACAGG
rnacentral:rRNA from 1 species